AGGGAGAGAACUUAGAAGCAUGGAAAGAAAGGGGAACUCAAGUUCAUCAAUUGCAUUUUCGCAACUCUUGAUACAGCUCCACUAAAUCAGCUUCUGUUUUGAAGGAGAAAAACGAGUUUGAAGUUGGGACAUGCAUGCUGAAUGUGAUGAAGAAUGGGCUAUGGGUUUGAUGAGUUUGGAGUUGGAGUUUUGGUCAAGAUAGGAACUCAAUUGCAGCAUGUUCAUCAUCUAAACUUCUAUCAAUCCAAGGUGCAGUUAGUAGCGUUUGGUCAGUAACAGGUUUGGACUGAAGACUUGGAAGUGGUGUUGGCUCGAAGACCUCGUUGGUUUUGACAUUCCGCUGUGCAAGAUCCAUUGAAGACUCGCGUAUUAUGCUUCUUAGUAGAAUUUCAUGUUGUAUUUUAUAUGGAUCUUCCUAUAACUAUAGCUUUUGUAUGUACUCAAUAUCAAUUUUAACGUUUCGUGCAUAAUAUACUAGUCAGUUAUGUAUGAGAUGUUACAGAGAAUCCCUAAUCAUUGUGGGUUAGUAUAAUGGGGUAAUUGUUAGAUUAGCAUAUUAUAUUUAUUCAUAGUUAAAUCUUAUAAAGUAUGUGUUUUAAUUUCUGUUAGUAUAUUGAAAUCUGCAGAGAAUUUGGAUUUGAAAACAAGAUGUAAUACUGGAAACAGAUA